UAAAUAUUCACUCCGUCCAAAAAUUCUUGUCUUAAAUUUGUCUACAUACAAAUGUAUCUAAUCACGUUUUAGUUUUAGAUACCUCCGUAUCUAGACAAAUCUAAAAUAAGAAUCUUCCGACGAGGUAAUACUUC
rnacentral:pre_miRNA from 1 species